GUCACCUUUCAGCUCUGGGCUCAGCACCUCCUUCCUGAGAGCAGUCACAUCCCUGCCCUGCUUGCCUGGCAGGACCCUCCAGGCCUGCUGGACCUCAGGGAAGGAAGGGACCCUGGCCAUGCCGCUACUACUUCUGUAUCCCUGGCCGUGUGCCUCUGAGGGGGUGCUCUUAUUUUCUAUAUUUUACAGAAAAGCAAACCAAGGCACAGACAAGCUGAAAAACUGCUCAAGGUCACCUUGUUCCUGAGUGGCAAUUAGGACCUGAACCUCUGUUAAUGGCAGAGUCCAGGCCACAUAGCAUCUGCUGUAAAAUUCUGCUACCCCUGCCAAGCACAGCUGCCUGGGUGUGAAUGCUCUGGAGAUGGGUGUCUGUGCCCUGUGGAGGUGGCCCGUUCCAUUUCAUGGUGGCCUGACUGGUUGGAGCUCUGUGUAAUUAUGUAGAAUCUGUCCCCCUGGUGGGGAGGUGUGACUAUGGAAUGGGAAUUCAGGGCCAUCCACGAAGUCUGGAGUUUCUUAGGAGUGACAAUGAUUCUAGAGUCACAGGAGAAAUGAGAUAUGGUCUCUGUAAGAAUGCAUACUGCAAAGAUUUGUGUGUGUGUGUGUGUGUGUGUAUAUGAGAUAUUUAGGAUGUCUCUAAAAUAUUCUAGGAUAAAAAAAGAGAAAAAAUGUUCAGGACCAAAGAUGAAGCUGUGAUGGACAUGUGGGGGUUCAUGAAACUCUGCUCUCUUUUCUAUAUCCUUGAAAAUUUCCUUUAUAAAAAGCAAAAUGAAAACAAGUCUCCUGGUAGCCUUGACAUACUACAUUUAGGUCUUUCUCCUUUAAUGAUCCAAGGCCUGUUUGGGUCCCAUGUCCCAGCUAGCCUCUGACCCCACUGACUCCUACUCCCUUCCCUAAGUCCCUCUUGCUGAAGCCCUGACCUCCUAAGCCCGAAGAAUGGGCCUGUUGCAUGGACUUCCUCCCUGCUCUUGAGGCUAGGCCUCCCAACCUGGGGUAUGAGAACCCUGGAGGGACAAGGUGGUGGGAACCUGGAGGUACACAAAGCCACAGGACACGAUAGCACAGUCUUGUAGAGUAGGGCUGUCACACAGAGCUUUCUGUGAUGGUGAAGGUGCUCUACAAUGGCAGUAAGGUAGCCACUGCUCACAGGUGGCUAUUGAAUGCUUGGAAGGUGGUUGGUGUUGAAAGAACAAUUGAAUUUUAAGUUUCAUAGAAUUUUAAUUACAUUCACACAGCCACAGGCUGGUGGCUUAGCCCGAAGCAGUGCAGGCAGAGAUUCUACCUGGGGAUUGAAGACAGACCUGGGCUCCCAGUCCCAAACUCCCCACAUACUACCCUGGUGACUUUGGGCAAGGGAGCCUCCAAUCUCAGCCCCCUCGCAUGUGGAGAUGAGACUCCCCAUCCCAAAGGGUGUGGAGGACUCAUUGACACAUAAACAGGUGCUCAAUAACUGUGAAUCAUCAGAGCAGGGUGAGCAGAGAUGGUACAUCUGAGGGCAACAUGGAGAAGGUGGCAUUUGGCAUGCGCCAACGAGGAGGGCUGCAGCCAGGUCCCCCUGCCUUGCCCGCCUUCCUGAUGUGGUGGCCUCUUUUCCGCAGCAUGGGCUGCUUCAACCUGUCUCUGGACUCACUCAGCACCUACUGUAGCUGCUUCCUCAAAGUUCCCAAAUGUUCACUGAGUGGCCUUGCCUGACCCACAAAACUUGCCGGCAGCUUGACGCUGUGUCAAUUCCCCCACACCAGCUUCCUUGCUGGUGCCAUCUUAAGCCCUGCCCACUUGUGUCCAGUCUCAGCAGGCCAAACUCAUCUUCUUGGAAGCUGCACCACAUCGUUCCUUUUCUCAAUACCUUCCAUAGCCCCUGAGCUCACUCAGGAAAGCCAGAGUCCGUCCAAGAGCCAUAAGGCCCCUGCCCUCUAACCUCACUUCCUGCUGCUCUUUUCCCCGAUUCCAGCAACAAGACUCCUGGACUUCUCUCCGACAGGAGCAUGCUCCUGCCUCAGGGCCUCUCAACUUUCUGUCCCUCUUGCCUGAUACUCUUUCCCCAGAGGUCUGCCUUGGUUCCCUGACACUCCAUUCAGGCCUCUGCUCAAAGUCCUUUUAUCUGCCAGGUCAUCGUUGACCACUGUACGUGUAGCAUUACCCUGACCUCCCUGCUGUUCCCUGGUCCCUAUCCUAGUUUAUUUUCCCUUAAAGCCCUUAUUACUGACAUAGUAUAUAUUCACUUGCUUUUUAUCUGUUUCCCACAACUAGAAUGUUUACUCCAGGAGAGCAUGGACUUUGUUUCGUUUGCAGCCAUGCUCACCCCAAGAUUAACUGGUUGAACGAAUGACUACCUUCUGACCUCAUGCUUCUACUUUUUCAACGCAGUGCCCACUAUGUGCUGGGCUUUGGGGGACCUAUGGAGCUUCUGGUUUAGAGGAGGACAGGCAGCCAACAAGAAUCACCCAGGUAAGUGAGCAUUUGUGCAAAUGGAGAUGUUACAGAAGUACAAGUUACAAUGAUAACAUGUAGCUUCGGGACUUAAUCAGUUGGAUUGAACAAAGAGGAGCUUUUUAGAGGGGGUGACAUUUAAGCUGAGCUCUGAAGGAUGGGAAGGAAUGGGCCAGGGGAAAAGCCUUUUGAACAGAAGGAACAGCAUUUGCAAAGGCUCAGAGAUAGGAAGGACCAUCACACUAGAGAAAUGCAGAGGGGAGGUUAGUGUGGAAGACUCUACUGAGGGAAGGGGAGGGCAGGGUGGGACACAGGGCCUCUUUAAAGAGUCUGGAGUACAUGCUCAAGCAGCAGGAAGUCAGGAAGGGCUUUCAGUUGGGGCAGGGAGCUGGGAGACAAAAUGCCCUUCUGCCCCAUUUGUUGCUCUAGCUGCUAAUCCUUAGUUUCUUAUGUUGACCCCACCCUUCUCCCCACCUGCGCAUGGGCCCAGCCCCCUCUUGCUCAGGCUAACCACCCCCUCCCCUACCCCCAGCCUCCAGCUCAACCCAUUCAGCUUGCUCAGCACCCUCUUUCCACCUGAACCAAUGUCCUCAUCUGGUUCCACAUGACUAUCAGCAGCUGUACCAUUCUCCUGUGACUGGCUUGGACAGGGUGGAGUAGCAGCACCAUCGUCAUGCAUUCCUCCAACUUUUACAGUCACUCCAGCUUUAAAGUCUCUCUUUGAUUGGUGACUUGUAGCAAAUGAUUCUAAAAACCUCAGUUUCUGCUCUGUUUAAUUGGGUGGGUGAUAAUGCCCACUGCCUAGGGUUUUCAGGGCACACAAAAAAAUGACUUCUGCACAGAGCUUAGCACAAAGCUUGGCACAGAGUCCACCCUCAGAAAAUGCUAGCUUCUUCCUAAAAAUACCCUCACUUCUCCCAUGGUCCCUCGCAGUCAUGCGUUCCUGCCUCUGGCUUGUGUUUCCCAUUAGCUUAAAUGUGAACUGAACCCCACCUCUCCUUCCUUCCAGCCUAAAUACUUCCUUCUUCAGAUGAGCCCCUUCAUUCCUCCAUUCAACAAGCAUUUACUGUGCCCUUAGCAAAGAAAGAAAAGGAAGACCUUGUGCCUGCCCUUAAGAAGGCUGUAACCCAAUUCAAGGCAAAUCUACAAAGUGCAGGGAUUUCCUGCAUAAACUUUGGAAUCAGAAAUCCAGUUACUGAGACAAGGAAGAUUGCCUAGGAAGAAAGGAUUUAUUGUGGAGGAUUCCUCAGCUGGGAGAGGAGAGGAGUGCGCUGCAGAUGAACUGAGGCAGAAGGAACAAGAAACAGGACACUAGUUGAGGCUGCACAGCAAACAAGCCAUGGAGGCGGCAGAUUCCGGAGCCACCGCUCAACAGUGAAUCUCUCUGUUACCCGGGUAAGUACACCAAGGCACAGAAAGGCUGAGAUCCUUGCCCAGAGUCAGACAGUGACACAUUGGGGAUCUAGGAUUGUGGUUUCAGAGGUGAUGGCAGCUACCCCUCAUAUGGGCCUUGCCUGCCCGUACCUCGGGCUGACCUUGAUCUGUGUACUGUGAGGUGCUGGGUGCCACAUGGCACACACUGUCGUGCGAAGUGUGCUGACUUGGUGAGACUGGUUUAUUUAUGUAACCUGAGAUAUGCUGACUGAAGGAAACUCAGCACCCACAGAUGGAUGGGAGAUAUGGACCAGUUGUUUUUUUCUGAGCUGUUGAUGUUCCCCUUAGCCAAGGGUGCUACAGAGAGAGAGAUCAACAGUCGCCAGAUGUCUGGCGCUUGUGUCCUUAUGGCCCUCUGCUCAACAGCAAGAUCAGACCAAGGCUGGGUCACCAGCAGCACUCACUGAGCAUUUACUAUGUGCUGGGCUGUCCUGGAUAUUGUCUGGCUCCCUGGAGCAUCCAUCCAGGAGGUGACUUCUGGUAGGGGCAUGGCACUUGAUAAGUGUUUGUUGAAUGAGUGAAUGGAUCCCUAUAAGGACCCUGCAGGGCUGGGGUGAUCAUCCCCCUCUUAUAGACCAGGAAAUCCCAGAGAGGCUGUGAUUGGGUGUCUGCUGACAGGAGGGGAGCAUGCAAGGCCAGGCCUGGAUUUUCUGACUUUAAGCUUUCGACCUCCCCACCCACAGGCCCAGGACUGGGAAAUGGGGCUUCCUCAAUCUGGGGUGUCUUUGGCAGCCGGGAUAUUGCUGAGCAUGGCAGAAGUGAAGUUAGGACUCAGAUGGGGUGGGAGGUGUCAUUGUACCUCAGCUACUCUUUAUUGGACCACACAGAUUCAAGCUGCUCUUUCUUUUGCUCUGAGGUCUCUUAAAUAUUUGAAGUCAGUUUUAUGGUAGCUUUUAAUUUUCUUUUUCUUUCUUUCUUUUUUUUUUUUUUGAUACAGAGUCUCAUUAUGUCGCCCUUGGUAGAGUACUGUGGUGUCACAGCUCACAGCAACCUCAAACUCUUGGACUUAAGCGAUUCUCUUGUCUCGGCCUCCCAGUGCUGUAUCUGCUUAGUGAUGGUUGGCUCUCUCUAUCAACAUGGCGACCUCAUCUCCAUGGCAACUCUGGAGACGUUGCCUUGGUGACCAAGGAGGGAGCAAGUGAUGAGUCCCCUUCCCUGAAGCUCAGACUGACUUGGUCCCUGGUUUCAUGGUAUGAAUCUGUUGACCCUGGGAUGGGGGGAAUCUUGGAAUCUCUGCUUUCUCUGCCCCUGAUGCUCUAGUGGUGGACUAAAACUUGCCCCCAGUCUGACUUCGCUGGCUCCCACGACACCAGGUUGGUGAGAUGGGCCUUCCCCUGAGUCAACAGUCUGGCUUCUGUGUUCUUCUCAUGGAGCUGCAAGAACAUCCAGCUACUCAGGUUCAGGAUGGACCUGAAGCAUACUGGAUCAGUGGGGCUCAUCCUCCUGGAUCUCAAAGGUCAUGGCUUGCUCUCCCUUAGGAGAAACAAACAGAUCCUUUCCCCAGAAGGGACCAUUCACAUGUUUACAGAUGAAGGAAAAAUAUGUCUUUUUUUUGGUAUGUUUUAAGGUAAGUUUUAAGGAUGUAAACAUAGUAAGCAAUAUUGAUAAGAAUGCAUUUUAUUGCAGCAAAUUAAAAUCCAUAAAAAUGUACCAAUUUCACUUGUAGUUUGAAUAUUGAGAUUCUGUCCAGAGUAGCUACCAAGUACAGAGGCUUUGGCAAGUUCUUCUCAUUUAAUUGUCUUGGCACUCUCAUGAGAAUGUUAGUACUGCUGACUUACCUUUUUUCGUUUUUCUUUUUUUAGAUUAUAAAAACUUCCCUGUUAACCAAGACUUUUUAACAUGGAACAGAUUUCUUGAAUGAAAUGGAAAAUUUCCAGCACAUUGAAACAAAUGCCCAAGUCAUCACACAUAAAACACCCAGCGGGAAAAGACAAAACAGCAUGUUUAUAGAAUCCCUGGAAUAACCCUGAUUUUAUUCUCAGAUGCUUCCUCCAUCUACCAAGUGUAUUCUGGAUACAGUGCACACUGUGGCUUCUGGGGUCACACUUGGCUGAGGCUGUGGCCCUCAUCUGGCUGGGCUGUGGUGGCUGGCUCUACUCAGGAAGUAAGGCAGUUACCAGCAUGUUAAACAGUUUCUUGAACAUGCUUUAAAUAUCAAAGUGAUAAGAGGGUGAUGUAAUAAUGUUAUCAGAAAGUUGUUAGAAAGUAAGGGCAGGCUGGGUACAGUGACUCACACCUGUGAUCCUAGCACUCUGGGAGGCCAAGGCAGGAGGAUCACUACAGCUCAGGAGUUGGAGACCAGCCUGAACAAAAGCAAGACCCUGUCUCUACUAAAAAUAGAAAAAUUAGCCAAACAUAGUGGUGGGCGCCUAUAGUCCCAUCUAUUUGGGAGGCUGAGGCAGGAGGAUCACUUAAAAGUAAGGACAGCUGUUUAAAGCUUCAGGCUGAAAGGCGGCUUGCCAGCUUUAUUUCUUAGGCUUCUUGGGUAGUGGGCGCCGGAACAGCAAGAUGUGAGGUUCUGGGUCAUGCAUCAUAUAAUGGACCCAACCCCUGACUCUGAUGAAUGCCAAGGUUCCUCCAUUCAGAUUCAGACAUCAAAUAGGUUUUAGGGACCAGCUUGGCCAUGUCUUUGGGAAAAGUGACAUGCUGAUCCUUGUCUAAAUAGUAAAUUUGUUUGUGCAACAUUAU